GAUGGACGGCUCCUGAGUAGCGAUGCUGCAUCCCCGCCUCACCUGCGGCGGAGUGCCGCUUUGCGUUGCAAUGAUCCGGCACCCUUUCGCUGCGCGCAGCCCCGGUGGAGUCAAGAAGGCCCGUUUCAUUGGAUUGAGUGCUGAUGUCAAUGAAGGUGAUGCCAAAGUUUGGAGCUGAACUUUGGAGUGGAUCUGGGGCGCAGAUCAAGGAAGCUGAUGCUCUUUUGUAUGAAGAAGCGCAUGUUCCUGUCUAACACCGAGAGAGAGAUGGAGAGGCCCUGUCACAAGCAGAUGAGUGUUCAUUACUUUAUCCUUGAGGGGGGGCGGUUGGGGCAGCGGGAAAGAGAUUUCACACUAAUUUGUGGUAUGACACCGUAACCAUUUACAAUAUAUAUUAAACAAACUGACCAUAAAACCCUUAAUAACCCUUUGGUCUAUUAUUAUCACAGCUAAAAAAACACCAUUUUUAGCAUAACCGGUACUUGUGAUUUAAUAUCUCCCCAUAUACCAUGAAACAGAUCAAAAUUGGUAGAUGUUAAAACAAACUUAAAAGGAUGAAUAGCAUGUUUGUCAUAAAUAUAAAGGACAUUUCUCCAAUGCGUCAUACAAUAAAUUACAGAAAUUUGUCUAAAAAUACAGCCCGAUGAUCUGAUUUGAGCAAACGGGUUGUUUAAACAGUAACACUUUACAAUAGGUAUAAGGCUCUAAAAACAUAUUGCACAUAGUUCAUGUUAACUAAUGUAAAAAUAGGGGUCAAAUCUACCAGGUUAAGCCAUAGUGCCAAAAAUAUGUAAAACGUUGCACAGUAACUACUCAAAUUUAGCAUUUGCUCUGGAAUGACAGCUGUUUAUUAGACCUGUAAUUCCUGAAUUAAGUUUCCAAAAAGCCCAAUCUCUGCAUACAAGAUUUAGGUGUACAUAUAGAUAAAACAAAACUUUCAUAAAGCAUUGAUAAUUGUAAACUGAGACAUCCUUACCUGAAA